rnacentral:misc_RNA from 1 species
GAUGAAGAACGCAGCGAAAUGCGAUAAGUAAUGUGAAUUGCAAAUUCAGUGAAUCAUCGAGUCUUUGAACGCACAUUGCGCCCCCUGGUAUUCCGGGGGGCAUGCCUGUCCGAGCGUCAUUGCUGCCCUCAAGCACGGCUUGUGUGUUGGGCCCCGUCCUCCGAUCCCGGGGGACGGGCCCGAAAGGCAGCGGCGGCACCGCGUCCGGUCCUCGAGCGUAUUGGGCUUUGUCACCCGCUCUGUAGGCCCGGCCGGCGCUUGCCGAUCAACCCAAAUUUUUAUCCAGGUUGACCUCGGAUCAGGUAGGGAUACCCGCUGAACUUAAGCAUAUCAAUAAGCGGAGGA